GGUGUGCGGGUGUGAGGGUGUGCGGCUUGUGUGUGUGUUGUGGCAGUGUUUCCUUGGUGUUGCGGUGGUAAUGCCUUGACAGUGUGCAGUGUUUGAUGACAGUGUGUGUGUGUUGUGUGGCAAAGACAAGCCAUGUUGGAGAAGAGCAGAACACGCUGCCGAGAUGAAACACAGUGAGUGAAGGAAGGAAGUGACACAGUGCACCAGUGUGUGGCUCGGCAGUGACGUCACCUUCACUUCACAGACGUGGGUGAAGCGGCAAGGCACAAGGCAGCGGCGGGCCGGCGGGCCGGGGCAGGGCGGCAGCCUUCACCACUACGUACAUGCGUGUCACUCAACAUUUGACGGUGAAGAGUCGUGAUGGUGAGGUGUUACAGGUGUAGCCAGCCGUCCCUAACCUGCAGGACAAGUAGCAGUGACCUGACCCCACCACAACAUGAAAUACCCGGAUGUCAACAAAGGGUCACCUGAGGCCGCUCCUCUUUAUCGGCCAUUAUUUGCUUGUGUGUCAUUUAUUACGAGCCAAACCUGUGGCAAGAUGGAGCUGCCAGCCUGGGCUUCCACACCAGCCCGUCAAACAGAUCCGCCAUCGCCUGGUGUCCGUGUGGCGAAGGUUUGAGUGAGCAAGGUGGCGUCUGGCCGCCGCUGGUGCCGCCGCCAUCUUGGACUGGGUCCGCCUGGGGCAGGUCCUGUGACGUCACGAGUCCCCUCGGCCAGGGAGCCCUGCCCGUGACGUCAUCAGUCCCGCCGCUUCCCGACCAGCCGGCCGGGCUCUGCGGCGCCAUAUUUAGCCUAAUAUACAAGGUUUUCAAGGUGUCUGGGAGUGUUUCUAGACGCAGGCAUCAAGCUGCUGUACUGGGGCCACCCACGCCAGGCAAGACUCCUUCACUUUGAGGGCCUGCUGUCUGAAUCCUCCUCCUGGAACACCAACAGAGGCAAUGGACAGCUGGACGAGGCAAUUUCUCCUGGAGCUGUGUGAGGGUGGCGGAGGAGGUGACAAUGCCUGAUGGAGACAUGGGGGUCUGUAUGCAACACCUGAGGCCAACACCUUCUGCAAUGACCUUAUGAUGUUAGGCAGCUGGAGUCACAGGGGCAGGAGCAGAGGGUAAGCAGGUUAGGAGAGGAGGAGGAGGGAUAGUGAAAGGAAGUGGGCAUAGUAGUGGGUGUUAUGACUAGUUAUGCUUGUGUGUCUAUGAAUAUUUUGCGAGUAAGAGGUAGAGAGUUGGGGAAAUGUAGUUUGAUGAGGGAUAUUAGAAGUUUGUGUGUGUAGUAAGUACUGGGACACAUUUUGACCUUGAGUUUUGUGUACCAUUAGACCAUUUUAUUGACAUUAGGAAAGGUUUAUGGAGGGCAGAUGAUUAAUGGCCACAGUCUUCACUAUUU